rnacentral:rRNA from 1 species
AGAUUGAACGCUGGCGGCAUGCCUAACACAUGCAAGUCGAACGGGAGUAGCAAUACUCUAGUGGCGGACGGGUGAGGAAUACGUAGGAAUUUGCCCUUAAGUGGGGGAUAACCCGGGGAAACCCGGAUUAAUACCGCAUGACCUCGAAAGAGCAAAGUGGGGGAUCGCAAGACCUCACGCUUUUGGAGAAGCCUACGUCGGAUUAGCUAGUUGGUGAGGUAAUGGCUCACCAAGGCGAACGAUCCGUAACUGGUCUGAGAGGAUGAUCAGUCACACCGGAACUGAGACACGGUCCGACUCCUACGGGAGGCAGCAGGUAGGGAAUAGUUGGAACAAGUGGGCGACAAGCCUGACUACCGAGCAAGU